rnacentral:rRNA from 1 species
GAUGAACGCUGGCGGCGUGCCUAAUACAUGCAAGUCGAGCGAACGGACGAGAAGCUUGCUUCUCUGAUGUUAGCGGCGGACGGGUGAGUAACACGUGGAUAACCUACCUAUAAGACUGGGAUAACUUCGGGAAACCGGAGCUAAUACCGGAUAAUAUUUUGAACCGCAUGGUUCAAAAGUGAAAGACGGUCUUGCUGUCACUUAUAGAUGGAUCCGCGCUGCAUUAGCUAGUUGGUAAGGUAACGGCUUACCAAGGCAACGAUGCAUAGCCGACCUGAGAGGGUGAUCGGCCACACUGGAACUGAGACACGGUCCAGACUCCUACGGGAGGCAGCAGUAGGGAAUCUUCCGCAAUGGGCGAAAGCCUGACGGAGCAACGCCGCGUGAGUGAUGAAGGUCUUCGGAUCGUAAAACUCUGUUAUUAGGGAAGAACAUAUGUGUAAGUAACUGUGCACAUCUUGACGGUACCUAAUCAGAAAGCCACGGCUAACUACGUGCCAGCAGCCGCGGUAAUACGUAGGUGGCAAGCGUUAUCCGGAAUUAUUGGGCGUAAAGCGCGCGUAGGCGGUUUUUUAAGUCUGAUGUGAAAGCCCACGGCUCAACCGUGGAGGGUCAUUGGAAACUGGAAAACUUGAGUGCAGAAGAGGAAAGUGGAAUUCCAUGUGUAGCGGUGAAAUGCGCAGAGAUAUGGAGGAACACCAGUGGCGAAGGCGACUUCCUGGUCUGUAACUGACGCUGAUGUGCGAAAGCGUGGGGAUCAAACAGGAUUAGAUACCCUGGUAGUCCACGCCGUAAACGAUGAGUGCUAAGUGUUAGGGGGUUUCCGCCCCUUAGUGCUGCAGCUAACGCAUUAAGCACUCCGCCUGGGGAGUACGACCGCAAGGUUGAAACUCAAAGGAAUUGACGGGGACCCGCACAAGCGGUGGAGCAUGUGGUUUAAUUCGAAGCAACGCGAAGAACCUUACCAAAUCUUGACAUCCUUUGACAACUCUAGAGAUAGAGCUUUCCCCUUCGGGGGACAAAGUGACAGGUGGUGCAUGGUUGUCGUCAGCUCGUGUCGUGAGAUGUUGGGUUAAGUCCCGCAACGAGCGCAACCCUUAAGCUUAGUUGCCAUCAUUAAGUUGGGCACUCUAAGUUGACUGCCGGUGACAAACCGGAGGAAGGUGGGGAUGACGUCAAAUCAUCAUGCCCCUUAUGAUUUGGGCUACACACGUGCUACAAUGGACAAUACAAAGGGCAGCGAAACCGUGAGGUCAAGCAAAUCCCAUAAAGUUGUUCUCAGUUCGGAUUGUAGUCUGCAACUCGACUACAUGAAGCUGGAAUCGCUAGUAAUCGUAGAUCAGCAUGCUACGGUGAAUACGUUCCCGGGUCU